rnacentral:piRNA from 1 species
UGGGUGCUGAGACGUGGAUUGCGGAG